rnacentral:tRNA from 1 species
UGGGAUAUUGCUCAGUGGUAGAGAAUUUGCCUACUAUACAAAAGGCCCUGGGUUUGAUUCCCAGUACUGCAA